AGUAGGAUGCCUGAAAAAGGAUUAUUUUGAUAGAAUAAAUUAUGUGAAUUUCACUUCUAUUA
rnacentral:tRNA from 1 species